GUGCUUGCUUGGGCAACACAUAUACUAAAAUUGGAACAAUGCAGAGAUUAGCAUGCCCUCUGUGCAAAGAUUAGUGUCCUCAUUGAUCUAGUAUAGAUUAUU
ensembl:snRNA U6 U6 spliceosomal RNA